UACGUAGGGGGCAAGCGUUGUCCGGAAUCAUUGGGCGUAAAGAGCGUGUAGGCGGCCAUACAGGUCAGCUGUGAAAACUCGAGGCUCAACCUCGAGACGUCGGUUGAAACCGUAUGGCUAGAGUCCGGAAGAGGAGAGUGGAAUUCCCGGUGUAGUGGUGAAAUGCGUAGAGAUCGGGAGGAACACCUGUGGCGAAGGCGGUUCUCUGGGCCUGUACUGACGCUGAGGAGCGAAAGCGUGGGGAGCGAACAGG
rnacentral:rRNA from 1 species